AACGAACGCUGGCGGCAUGCCUAACACAUGCAAGUCGAACGAGAUCCCUCGGGGUCUAGUGGCGCACGGGUGCGUAACGCGUGGGAAUCUGCCCUUAGGUUCGGAAUAACAGUUAGAAAUGACUGCUAAUACCGGAGGAUAACGUUAAGUCCAAAGAUUUAUCGCCUGAGGAUGAGCCCGCGUAGGAUUAGCUAGGUGGUGUGGUAAAGGCGCACCAAGGCGACGAUCCUUAGCUGGUCUGAGAGGAUGAUCAGCCACACUGGGACUGAGACACGGCCCAGACUGCUAGGGAGCGGAGGAGUGGAGAAUAUUGGACGAUGAGCGCAAAUGUGAUCCAGCAAUGUCGGGUGAGAGAUGCAUGCGUUAGGGUUGUAAAGCUGUCUUAGCCGAGAUGAUAAUGACAGUAUCGGGUGAAUAAGCCCCGGCUAACUACGUG
rnacentral:rRNA from 1 species